rnacentral:rRNA from 1 species
GUAGGGAAUAUUGGACAAUGGGGGGAACCCUGAUCCAGCCAUGCCGCGUGGAGGAAGACUGCCCUCUGGGUUGUAAACUCCUUUUAUAUGGGAAGAACCGUCCUCAUUAAUGAGUGACCUGACGGUACCAUAGGAAUAAGCACCGGCUAACUCCGUGCCAGCAGCCGCGGUAAUACGGAGGGUGCAAGCGUUAUCCGGAUUCACUGGGUUUAAAGGGUGCGUAGGCGGAUAAAUAAGUCAGUGGUGAAAUCAACGGGCUCAACCUGUUAACUGCCAUUGAUACUGUGUAUCUUGAAUAUGAGAGUGGUAGGCGGAAUGUUGCAUGUAGCGGUGAAAUGCUUAGAUAUGCUACGGAACACCGAUUGCGAAGGCAGCUUACUAUUUCGUAAUUGACGCUGAGGCACGAAAGCGUGGGUAGCGAACAGGAUUAGAUACCCUGGUAGUCC